UAACUAUUGGAUGGCAUUUCUGGACC
rnacentral:piRNA from 1 species